GCAAAAGGCUAUUUGACUAAUAGUGAUGCGUGGUAGUGCCAUGUCUCCCUGUUUUUUGUAAUGUAAAAUGACUAUUGAUACUAAUACUCAUUUAAUUUUUUUGUGCAUUUACUAUGUACGCAGCACUGUGUUUAGCACAUUCUAUAGUUACCCCAUUUGACUCUCAUAAGGACUUGAAUGAUGGAGGUUUAAGUACCAAUUCCUCUACCUGACUUAGGGCAGGUGAUACUGACUAGGAUUU